rnacentral:rRNA from 1 species
CCUUAGUUUAUUCGGGAACCGUGAGACAGGUCCUGCAUGGUUGUCGUCAGCUCGUGUUGUGAAAUGUUGGGUUAAGUCCCGCAACGAGCGCAACCCUUAUCCUUUGUUGCCAGCGGUCCGGCCGGGAACUCAAAGGAGACUGCCAGUGAUAAACUGGAGGAAGGUGGGGAUGACGUCAAGUCAUCAUGGCCCUUACGACCAGGGCUACACACGUGCUACAAUGGCGCAUACAAAGAGAAGCGACCUCGCGAGAGCAAGCGGACCUCAUAAAGUGCGUCNUAGUCCGGAUUGGAGUCUGCAACUCGACUCCAUGAAGUCGGAAUCGCUAGUAAUCGUGGAUCAGAAUGCCACGGUGAAUACGUUCC